rnacentral:rRNA from 1 species
AUGGGACUAACAUCAAGGUGUGGGAAGAUCCUUGGAUUCCCGAGGGCGGUACAAGGAGGCCUAGAUCUCUCCCUGGGCGCUCCCCCAAUCACUCUUGUAGCAGAUUUGCUCAAUCCAAACACCGGGGGCUGGAACGAGGCGAUGGUCCGUGACCUCUUUCAGGAGGAAGACGCAAAGGCCAUUCUCUCCAUCAGCAUCUGCGAAGGGAUGGAGGAUAGUUUUGCUUGGCACUUUGAUCAUCGUGGCAUCUUCUCUGUCAAAUCUUCUUAUAAGAUUGGUGUUAUGCUACGCGAUAGAAGGCUGGGAAGAGAUGCUGCAAUCUCUAAGGAAAAUUCUGCUAACAGCACAGUCAAAUUUGAUUGGAAACAUGUCUGGUUCCUAAAGGCCACCAGCAAGGUAAAGAUGUUUGUGUGGCGCCUUGCCCACAAUAGUCUGGCUAACUGCAUUAAAAUUCAAAAGUUGGGCUUGGACUUGGACACUAGAUGCCCUGUUUGCCAUAGGUUAAAUGAAGAUGGAGGGCACACCUUCCUGAAGUGCAAGAAAGCUAAAGAAUGCUGGAACAUUUUGGCUUUGGGAGAGACCCGAGAAAAGCUCAUGCUCUGCAAUUCAGCCCACUCCAUGCUUCAGGAGCUGUGGAGGUGUGAUGAAGACACGCAGCUGAAGGCCGUGACCUUUAUGUGGGAAUGGUGGAAUGUUCACAACAAGGCCAAUGCUGGUGAGGCGGCUCCAAAGCCUCAAGCGGUUUGUCACUGGGUGGAGAGGUUGCUGAUUGAGUCCCUGGGCUUGCGAAAACUAAACAAGCCUCCUAAGCCAUCGGACAUUCACAGAUGGAGCAAGCCCCCAGUGCAUCAUGUGAAGGUUAACUUCGACGGUGCCUUUGAUGAAAAUACAUGUGCAGAGGGCUGGGGCUAUUUGGUCCGUGAUCAGGUUGGCAAAUUUAUCGCUGCUGGUGUGGGCAAGACCGUGAACCUGAAAUGUGCUUUGCAAUCUGAAUUUGUAGCCUGCCUUGCUGCCAUUGAUGGGGCGAUCAGGAUUGGGGAAAAUCGAAUCAUCUUCGAGUCUGAUUCCUUAACCCUUAUACAUGCUUUGAAGAGUAACGAAUAUGACAAGGCAACCAUUGGUGUGUUGGUGAAGGAAGCUAGAAGCCUAUGCAUUCUAAACUUUGAUUCCUAUGAUUUUUCUUUCAACCGACACACUUGUAACUCUGUAGCCCUGAGCUUGCCAAGCUGGGCGUUCAUUCUGGGUCUGAUGACUCCUUCUGGGAGGACUCUGCCCCCAAUUACAUUGUAA